rnacentral:tRNA from 1 species
GUUUAAAUAAUUUAAAAAAAAUGUUGAUUUUGUAAAUCAAUUUUGGUUAGACCUUUAAACA